rnacentral:rRNA from 1 species
GACGAACGCUGGCGGCGUGCUUAACACAUGCAAGUCGAACGGAAAGGCCCUGCUUUUGUGGGGUGCUCGAGUGGCGAACGGGUGAGUAACACGUGAGUAACCUGCCCUUGACUUUGGGAUAACUUCAGGAAACUGGGGCUAAUACCGGAUAGGAGCUCCUGCUGCAUGGUGGGGGUUGGAAAGUUUCGGCGGGUGGGGAUGGACUCGCGGCUUAUCAGCUUGUUGGUGGGGGAGUGGCUUACCAAGGCUUUGACGGGUAGCCGGCCCGAGAGGGUGACCGGGCACAUUGGGACUGAGGGACGGCGCAGAGUCGUACGGGAGGCAGCGGGGGGGAAUAUUGCACAGUGGGCGGAAGCCUGAUGCAGCAACGCCGCGUGCGGGAUGACGGCCUUCGGGUUGUAAACCGCUUUCGCUCGUGACGAAGCGUGAGUGACGGUAAUGGGUAAAGAAGCACCGGCUAACUACGUG